AGAGUUUGAUCAUGGCUCAGGACGAACGCUGGCGGCGUGCCUAACACGUGCAAGUCGAACGGGACCGGGGGCAACUUCGGUUCAGUGGCGGACGGGUGCGUAACACGUGAGGAACAUGACCUUCGGCGGGGGAUAGCCGGCCCAACGGCCGGGUAAUACCGCGUACGACCAUUAGGGGACAUCCUCCGAUGGUGAAAGCAGCAAUGCGCCGAUGGAGUGCCUCGCGGCCUAUCAGCUAGUUGGUGGGGUAACGGCCUACCAAGGCGACGACGGGUAGCUGGUCUGAGAGGAUGGCCAGCCACAUUGGGACUGAGACACGGCCCAGACUCCUACGGGAGGCAGCAGUGGGGAAUAUUGCGCAAUGGACGAAAGUCUGACGCAGCGACGCCGCGUGGGGGAUGAAGGUCUUCGGAUUGUAAACCCCUUUCGGGAGGGAAGAUGGGAUGGGGUAACCCAUUCGGACGGUACCUCCAGAAGCAGCCACGGCUAACUUCGUGCCAGCAGCCGCGGUAAUUC
rnacentral:rRNA from 1 species